rnacentral:rRNA from 1 species
GACGAACGCUGGCGGCGUGCUUAACACAUGCAAGUCGAGCGGUAAGGCCCUUUCGGGGGUACACGAGCGGCGAACGGGUGAGUAACACGUGGGUGACCUGCCCUCAGCUCUGGGAUAAGCCUGGGAAACCGGGUCUAAUACUGGAUAUGACUCCAUGACGCAUGUUGUGGGGUGGAAAGCCUUGUGCGGCUGAGGGUGGGCCCGCGGCCUAUCAGCUUGUUGGUGGGGUGAUGGCCUACCAAGGCGACGACGGGUAGCCGGCCUGAGAGGGCGACCGGCCACACUGGGACUGAGACACGGCCCAGACUCCUACGGGAGGCAGCAGUGGGGAAUCUUGCGCAAUGGGCGAAAGCCUGACGCAGCGACGCCGCGUGA